GUAACUGCUGAGGAAUGGCUGCCAAAACCUUAUGUGGGAAAACAGAGUUUUCCAGAAUUGAUAUUUCUAGGAAUGAUUGAAGAAAAAAAAAUAGAUGCAGCUCAACUUGGCAAGGUUAACAGCACAGGCGGCAGCCUCUUGGGCUUAGCUGCCAGCAUGACCUCAAAUGAACCAGCUUUGCCUGACAGGACACCUGACAGGAAUGCAGGGUGUGGAGUGGCCCGCAGGCUGUGGGGAUGACAUGGAAGAAACUGAAAGCUGGAGAACUGCUGGGCAGAGAUGUAGAGGAUGUCUCUAGUGGUCUCCAAGUCAGCACUAGCCAGAGAUGACGGCUAUGGACAUCAGAUUGUCUCCAAGAGAAGUGAAUCUUCCUCCUGGAUUUUCUGGAAACUGGUCUGUAACAGAGCUUCUGAAGUGAUAUCUUAGAUUGUUGAUUUGAGAUCAUUCCUCUUUUCUAAUUUUGAGAGGAGUAUUGUAUCCUGACGAAGAACGUGGACUGUAGAAUCUGAGGCCUGAGUUGGGAUCUGAACUCCAUCCCUUAUGGAGCUGCAGGACCUUGGACCUUGCAGCCUCCACUUAGACCUUUUAGGAAUGCUGUGCUGAGAUCAUCUUGUGAGGAAGCUGGUCUAGCCUACUGGAGGAUGAGCAAAGUUGCAUAGAAGAUCCCGGCAUCCAGACGGAUGGCACCAACUCCAGAUGCAUGUCACACCAUCCCUGCAUCUCUGGAAUGAAUCCCACCUGAUCAAGGGUAAUGAAGGCUUCAUAGAAGGAGUUAGGAAGACUCCCCUCCUCUUCAAUUUUUUGGAAGACUUUGAGAAGGAGAACCUCUUUGUGAGAAGGCUGGUCCAUACCAAGGUUCUAAUCUGCAAUUAUCUAGAAGAACAAAGCCUGUCCAGAAGAUAUUGAACUUACAACAGUUGUCUACAAUCAUAUUUUUCUAAAUGAAGAUUUGCCAACUUUCAGCAAACAGAAGUAGGAUGAGCAGGAAGAUACACACGAAGGAAAUUUAUGUGGACCAGUUCUGUAGUAGUGCUUGUCCCUCUCGCGACAUUCAUAUUAGCACAUUUAACUGUUAAGGAGGCUGGGAAAAGUCAUCUAGCUGUGCGCUCAGGAGGAAGAGAAAAUGGUUUGGAAGAACAGCACUAGGAGCCUGCUAUGGUGCCUUCAACAAAUGGGAGUUUGUUUUUCUUCUGUUCAAGACGUCUCAAGAGAAAACUGAAGAAAAAAACCCGAACAAACCUGAAAGAAGACCAUAGAAAAGGAGUCACCCAAAAGAGUGAAAAAAUAUAUUUAGUAAAGGACUCAAAACUUUUAGAAGGCAGGGACUGCAUCUUUUUUUGGGGGGGGUGGGGGUGAAUAUGGUUUAGAAACCAGUGAAAUGAAAAGCUAACUUACUUUUUGGCUGAAAUUGAUUGAUUGUGCAAAUACUGAUUAUUACAAUGCCUGGAAAAAUUCGUCUAGUCAAAAAUAGCAAUUGCCAUGACUACAUGUCCAUGAGUCUCUCUCUUUUUUACUUGCUUUGUCUGCUGGUUGAAACAGGGAGGGCCAGGCACGUGAGAGGUACACGCUAUGUGCCACUGCUUCUGACGCUGCCAUGGUUAACACGACGGGGUCAAAGCCACUUCACAGUUUUGCUUCAGAAGCCACAAAAGACUUCCUGUGAUGUCAGGCAGCCUGCAGUAACCCAAAUGGUCGCCCCAAAAGGCACAUCCCUGACAAAGAGUCUUUGACAGACUUAGUUACUUUCAGUGCCAGUCACUGCCUUGCUGGAAGUCUGUCUGGAUGUCCCUUCUGCAAAGCAACUAAGUCCCUCCAGCAUCAAAGUGAGAAUAAAAAUAUCUUGACAAGCUCAUCUCUCUUUUUGAAUCCCUUGGACACUUGGGCACUGGUGUGCUCUGAAUCCAGGAUCGUGCUGGGAGAGCAGUAAGCUGAUGGCUGUGGAAUGUGCCCUUGGAAAUGGAAUGGCCUGGAGGGCAACGUGAUGCCACAGACCUGCUAUUUUGACCCUUUUCUCCAGCUUACUGAGAAAAUUAUCUGUAUGAAAAAAUGGUACCUCCAUUAACACCGCUGACAACAACGCCUGACAACUGGGAGGGAUACCUCCCUCCCUCUCAUUCUCCAUAUUUACUCAGUUACCGAGGCCUGUGGAUUUUUCCUUCCCAAGCAUCUUUCUAAUCUGUUCCUUUUUUCCAUUCCUGCUGCCAUAAUCUUGGUCCAAUCUAACAUCAUCUCUCAGCUAGACCAGUACAAUAACUUCAUUUCUGACCC
ensembl:lncRNA